CUCUUCCUUGAAGAGUCGUACC
rnacentral:miRNA from 1 species